rnacentral:rRNA from 1 species
GACGGAGGGUGCAAACGUUGUUCGGAAUCACUGGGCAUAAAGAGCACGUAGGCUGCGCGCUAAGUCAGGUGUGAAAUCCCCCGGCUCAACCGGGGAACUGCACCUGAUACUGGCGUGCUCGAGGACGGUAGGGGUGAGUGGAACUCCAGGUGGAGCGGUGAAAUGCGUAGAUAUCUGGAGGAACACCGGUGGCGAAAGCGGCUCACUGGACCGUCUCUGACGCUGAGGUGCGAAAGCGUGGGGAGCAAACAGG